CGUGAGAUGUUGGGUUAAGUCCCGCAACGAGCGCAACCCUUGUCCCUAGUUGCCAGCAUUCAGUUGGGCACUCCAGGGAGACCGCCGGUGACAAACCGGAGGAAGGUGGGGAUGACGUCAAGUCAUCAUGGCCUUUAUGGCCAGGGCUACACACGUGCUACAAUGGCAAGUACAGAGGGAAGCCAACCGGCGACGGGGAGCCAAUCCCAGAAAAACUUGUCGUAGUCCGGAUUGGAGUCUGCAACUCGACUCCA
rnacentral:rRNA from 1 species